rnacentral:lncRNA from 1 species
GAAGGGUGCCUCCACCACAUUUAUCUCCUUUUGUGGACAAUGAUGAAGUGGGUUAUACUCCUGAGUUUGAAGAGAAGAUCCUUAAGAGACUGCGAGCUGCUUCUAAAGACAAGGUGUUGCCCUUGCCUGGUUUAGGUGAUGAAGAUCAGGAUAAUUCGAUGGUAGAUGCGAGAUCAGAGUAUAAUGAAGUUGCUGAAAAGAAGAGGAAGUUGGACAUGCUAGAGAAACAAUACCACGAAGAGCUGAAGAUGGAAAUUGAGGGAGAGACUUUCUCUAAUUGGCAACAUCCAUGAACCUAAAUGUACAAGUAAUCUCCUGUUGAUUAAUUGGUGAGAACUAGCAAGAAAGCAAAAUUGCAUAUAGUGUUUAACAGUCAUUCUCCAGUUGACAGCAGCAGCAGCCUAAGAAAGAGUAUGUGUUAGCAGUUUGGUUAGCCUAGUAGAUAUAAAAAUUAAGGGAUUGCUAUAGACAGUUUAAGUUCAAAUGGAUUGCUAGAAAAGGAGUGCCGCUCUUCUUCCACCUCCUUCUAUUCUUCCUCUCUUACGUUGCUACAGCUCCGAGCGCUCCCUCUACCGCUGCCUCCUCUCCCCCUUCUCUCCGGCGGCUCUGCCGGCUAGAGAGGAAGGGGAGGGGAGGUCUGCCAUGGUCCUCUUGGUUUUAUGUAUAUUAUGGUAGUUGCCUUAGAGGCUUGUCUCUUUGGAUCUGCGCCGCCGGAUUUGAGGCUCCGGUGGUUGACUCGAAGAAGCUUGUUUGCCAUAGUUAUCAACGUCGAGAUCUCCAGCAAUGGUAACUCUGGUUUCAUUUCUUCCCCUGAUCCCCUCCUAAAUAACCGCCUCCUUUCAGAUUUGGGUGUUCCUAUGUUGUUCUUCUUCUUGAUAAAUAGCACCGGGUCUGUGAAGCCUCCGUUAUCCUUCAAGAUCCCUGUGUUUCUGUGUCACUUGAUCUUCUAGAACAGUAAAAAAAAUUCCAUUUUCUUUGGAGAUCUUCUUUAUUUCGCUCAGAUUUCCCCACCUUUGAGUCCAUGCUGGUUGGGAGGGGGGGCAUGGUUCUCUGUCACAUCUGCUGUCCUCUCUUCCUCUCUGUUUUGGUGAUGCUAUCUACUUUGAUUUCUUGCACUGGAGCAGGACCUGCCUUCGCCUUCGGAUCCGUUCUUUUGAUGGUCGAUGUCCCUCUCAACCUCCAGAUCGGAGGCGCGCUUGUCGGUUCAGGGAUGAGAUAUCAUUGGUGCGGGGACAGAGGACUUGCUAUGAACUCUGCUUGGUGGCUGCUGCCCAUUUCAGGGGCUAUGGUGCUCUUCUUGUGGCUGUUGAUGCAGGUGCUCAUCCAAGAUGUUUGGCGUCGUCAGCUCCUUCUUCCUCCGGAGUACACGGAGGCAUUUUGUUCCGGCAGUCUCCUCGCUAGCUGGUGGCGGAUGGUAGUUUGCCCGUCGAGGAUGGCGUGUGACUCAGUCGGCGGCUAGGUCGAUGCUGGGCACGUGUCAACCCGAAGUGUUUCUCUAGACACGUGGUCUUUGUUUGGCCGAAUGUUAGACGCGUGUCCUUGGGCAUGGUUGUAAUUUUUCCAUUUCUUUGUGUCCUACAAAUGUAUCGGGUUGUAAUCCGUGGGUUUUUUGGACCCACUUGCUAUUAAUACUAUGCAGGGAUCCUUUCAAAAAAAAUGUUAAUUAAUGAACUAGCGGAGACAAUCAUUACAGGAAAAAAAACUUUAUUUACACACUGAAAUGUUGGAAAUGAGCUGUAUACUACCUUACAUCGAUCAUAUAAUAACAUUUUGUGACAAACAUUUUUGUGAAAAUUUCCUUGUGCACUUUUACACAAAUAAAUUGCUAGUACCAACUACAAAUUUAAUGCAGAGAUAAAAAAUGUACGAAAAAAAACACUCUCAAAACUAACGCACCUUUGUUCUUAAAUUUAAAUGUGUUUAAACAGGGGCGGAGGCGACGACGAAGCCAUCGCCCUAUGUACGCUCGGUUGUAUCUACACCUAUCAUGGGUUAGAAGGAUUUAUAUCUUUCAAAAGAAUCUAAAAAUUUGUAUGCUGCUAGUACAUGUAAAUAUGAGAAUGCACGCAAGAAUUUAUAUAAAUUAAACUUGUAAUUUCUACUUUAUAAAAAAUAUAUGCUAUUUUUUUUUCAGAAACUCAGUAGAGAGGAGACACUCACAAUGGCAUGCACACUCACCCUGUUACCACAUGCGAGUGGAUUGGCAGAUCUUGAGGUUGAGGUGCCUUGCUGUUGUCAGUUACGUCACUUACCACUAAAAAAUAACGCUAAUGAAAUCCUGAUAAAUGCGAACACACAUGGCAAUUCUAAGAGUUGAACACGGUGGGAUUCUUCCACUGGAAACAACUUAACUAACUGAGCUAUAUAUCAAUUUUGGUAAACAUUGUUUUCAUGUAAUUUUACAUUUAUAUACAUGAUUAUCGUGCUUCCUGUGAGAAUUUCUGAAUAGCAAAAAUACAGAUAGAUAAGAUACGCUUUGCUCGUCUAGCUAGUGUGGGCAUAUCACGUCCCAUCAUAUAACUUACAAAUCUUGUAAUGAAACCAUCAUAUAACUUAACAUUUUGUGACAAACAUUUUUGCGAAAAUUUCCUUGUGAACUUACACAAAUAAAUUACUAGUACCAACUACAAAUGUUCAUGCAGAGAUAAAAAAAAAUGUACAGAAAAAAGCAUACUCUCAAUGCACCUAAUUUCUUAAAUUUAAAAAGUGUAUUUAAACAGGGGCAGGGGCGAGCCAUCGCCCAAUGUACGCUCGAUUGUAUUUACACCUAUCAUGGGUAGACGUAUUUACAUCUUUCAAAAGAAUCUAAAAAAUAGUAUGGUACUAGCAUAUGUAAACAUAAGAAUGCAUGCAAGAAUUUAUAUAAAUUAAACUUGUAAAUCCUACUUUAUAAAAAAGGAAAUUUAUGCUAUUUUGUAAAAAACACAGUAGAGAUGGGGACGCUCACAAUAAGCAUGCACGUUCUGCCCUGUGAGCACAUCCAAGUGGGUUGGUAGAUCUUGAGAUUGAGGCGCCUCGCUGUUGUGUCGUUUACCACUGGAAGAAUAAACCCAACUAAAUCUUGAAUUAAAUCCAGAUAAAUGCAAACACACAUGCCAAGUCUAAGAAUUGAGCCCAAGUAAGAUUGUUCCGCUGCAAAGAACCUAACCAACUGACCUAUAUAUCAAUUUUGGCAAACAUCAUUUUCAUGUAAUUUUUACAUUAUAUAAAUUAUUAUCGUGGUUCUUUUGAGAAUUUAUGAAUAGCAAAAAUACAAAUAGAUAUAGAUUAGCUUUACUCGUCUAGCUAGCGUGGGCAUAUCACGUCCCAUCGAUCACAGAAUGCCCGAGAGAAUCUACCGAUGACCCGAUCUGACCUAACAUGGGAAGGAUUUACAUCUUUCAAAAGAAUCUAAAAAUUUGUAUGCUACUAGUACAUGUAAAUAUAAGAACGCACGCAGGAAUUUAUAUAACUUAAACUUGUAAUUUCUACUUUAUGAAAAAAAUAUGCUAUAUUUUUAGAAACACAGUAAAGAGGAGACACUCACAGUGGCAUGCACACUCAACCUGUUACCAGAUGCGAGUGGGUUGGCAGAUCUUGAGGCUGAGGCGCCUUCGUUGUCGUCAGUACACAUUGAAGGGGCGCGUAGAGAUAAACAAAACUUUUCCUACGCGAACUCCCAAGAUCUAGCCGAGGUAGAAGGCCACGAGGAUUACCACUAGACGCGCAGUUGCGGAUUAUCGAUGCGGCGUCUUGAUGCAGUGCAGUCCCUCGAUCCGAUCCAGCCGAUCCAAUCCCGCGAUCGUCGAAGUGCUGAACGUACAGCACCUCUGCCGGUAUCCACACGUGCGAGGAGGAGCUCCGGCGGCGGACUGCUAGGUCCGGUGCGACGGUUGAACUGAAUCGGGCUAGGGUUCUCAACGCAUGAGAGUGGAAAAACCGUACCCCUUAGGCAUCCCACGCCCCUGCUUAUAUAUCGAGUGGAAGUAGGCUCCAAGCCUUGUGGCCCAUCCACCCUGCGAGUCCAACUCGCAUUGUCAGCCCAAUUCCAGUUCGGGUCCAACCCGACCAAAUACUUGCUCCCGCUCUUAAGUGUGUGACCCCACAGGCUCAUGGUGACUUGGACACGAUUGGAGUCCGACUCACAAUCGAUCAAUCGGUAGCGGCUCCUAGCAGAACGUGCCGACUCCCAAGUACCAUCGAGUCAUGACGACGUACCUUCCAAUGUGACAUACGUCUUAGUCCCUUUUGCCUCACGAUAUACCUUGUCGAACUAUAGGCGAUUAAUCGUCAUCCCUUUAAUAGUUCAACUCUCUUCUCGAUCUGUGAUAUACGAUUCAUCCGACUAACUCUUAGUCGAUCGACCCGGUUAACAGUUAACCAAGUCGCGCAUGGCCAUGCUUCCCGAAUCAUAUCACUCGAGAGGGCCCAGAGAAUAUCUCUCCAGUCGGAGGGGCAAAAUCCCAUCUUGGUUAUCCACAUCACACAGCUUGAUUCUCAGUCAACCCGAACUCUGCCUUUAUAACUGCCCUGUUACGGAACAACGUUUGACAGAACCUAAGUUGGUGAUCCACAACUCGGAUUGUGCGAUAACCUCAGGUCUAAGGAUUACAUUGAUUGAGACAUGCAAAUGACGACCUACUCGUUGCAUCUCAAUAUGGGUCAGUCCGACUCGCUAAACUCUUUAGCCGAGUCCGUGUAAACUGGAAUGACAUCACCAUGCCCAUGACAAGUGGAACCGAGUCAUCAGCCAACUUUCACAUUAGUCUAGGUUAUGUGUCCAGCACAACCUCAAUGACUAAGGACAAUUUAGUAUGAACAACAUGAAUACAUAGUUCCACAAUCAAAUCACAUAUUCAAUGAUACAUAUCAGAUGUUCAAACAAGGACAACUUAAUAAUAUUUAUGAAUACAUUGGGAAUUACAUCAUACAUGAUUGCCUCUAGGGCAUAUUCCCAACACACAUGCGCCUUCGUUGUCGUCAGUACACAUGGCAAUUCUAAGAGUUGAACACGGUGGGAUUCUUCCACUGGAAACAACUCAGCUAACUGAGCUGUAUACUCCCUCCGUCCAACAAAAAAUGUUUCAAGUUUGUUAAAAUUUAGAUGUAUCUAAUGUGUAGAUGCAUUUAAAUUUGGUCAAACUUGAGACAUACUUUGUUGGACGGAGGGAGUAUCAAUUUUGGCAAACAUUGUUUUCAUGUAAUUUCACAUUUAUAUAUAUGAUUAUCGUGGUUCCUCUGAGAAUUUCGGAAUAGCAAAAAAUACAGAUAGAUAAAGAUAAGCUUUGCUCGUCUAGCUAGCGUGGGCAUAUCACGUCCCAUCGAUCAUCAGCCAUUAAUCCUCGAGAGCACCAAAAUAAAAACAGAAUUUCCGAGAGCAUCUCCCGAUGACCCGAUCUGACCUGACCAGCCAGCCAGCCAGCCGCGUGAUUCGCCACGGCGGCAAAGCGAAUCUCCCCUGGACGCGACGUAUUUGACCUCUCGCCCCGAUCGAUCCCGAUGGCUCCGUCGUCGUAGUACAUCGCCCUCGCCCUUUCCGGCCCCUGGAUUAAUGGCGAACCGCGGGCGACACGGGCACGCGCGCUCUGCAGUGCCCGCAGCACGAACGUACUAGUACAACGUCGCCAAAGGGAGAAAUUACAAGCUACCCCCCGUUGUACUAUCAUCAGCUGCCCAGCGCGACGUACAGCGCGAAUGACACAAUAUUCGCUGGGGCACUACGGUAUUCCCCGGGGUCACUCCGACUCGACGUCGUGCCGGCCGCCCCGUUGGCCGUUGGCAGUGGAGCCGCGUCCCCUCGGGGCCGGCUGUGCGCAACAAACAAAACCCAAUCCAAUCCGCGCGCCGGGCACUUUGCCACUUCUUCCCCCUUCCCUUCCUUAUCUGCUGCGCCGGAAGAAGAGAUAUUUACGUUAGUCUCCGGAGCACCGCACGCACGUAUCUGUGGUAAGCUUCCAAGGGCCUCUGGUGCUCUGGUGAUUGAGCACCUGAGGUUGG